GCCGGGGUGGCUCAGGGUGGAGCGUCGGCCUGCGGACGGAAGGGUCCCGGGUUCGAUUCCCGGUCAGGGCA
rnacentral:tRNA from 1 species